CCUACGGGAGGCUGCAGUGAGGAAUAUUGGUCAAUGGGCGGGAGCCUGAACCAGCCAAGUCGCGUGAGGGAAGACGGUCCUAUGGAUUGUAAACCUCUUUAGGCGGGGAGCAAUGCCGGGCACGCGUGCCCGGAGGGAGAGUACCCGCAGAAUAAGCAUCGGCUAACUCCGUGCCAGCAGCCGCGGUAAUACGGAGGAUGCGAGCGUUAUCCGGAUUUAUGGGGUUUAAAGGGUGCGAAGGCGGAUUUUUAAGUCAGCGGUAAAAUGUCCGGGCUCAACCCGGGCCGGCCGUUGAAACUGGGGAUCUUGAGUGGGCGAGAAGUAUGCGGAAUGCGUGGUGUAGCGGUGAAAUGCAUAGAUAUCACGCAGAACUCCGAUUGCGAAGGCAGCAUACCGGCGCCCGACUGACGCUGAGGCACGAAAGCGUGGGGAUCGAACAGGAUUAGAUACCCGAGUAGUC
rnacentral:rRNA from 1 species